rnacentral:snRNA from 1 species
AGCUUUGUGCAGUAGCAGUAUUGUAGCCAAUGAGGUUUAUCCAAGGCACGAUUAUUGCUAAUUGAAAACUAUUGUAGGAAAU